GUCUGUUCGACCUUUAAAAUCUUACAUGAUCUGAGUUCAAACCGGUGUAAGCCAGGUUGGUUUCUAUCUAAUUGAGUUUAAGUUUAAUUAGUACGAAAGGACUUUUAAAUUUGUAAAAUUUGCUGGUUAAUUUGGCAGAUUUAAGUGCU
rnacentral:rRNA from 1 species